AGGACGAACGCUGGCGGCGUGCUUAACACAUGCAAGUCGAGCGGUAAGGCCUUUCGGGGGUACACGAGCGGCGAACGGGUGAGUAACACGUGGGUGAUCUGCCCUGCACUUCGGGAUAAGCCUGGGAAACUGGGUCUAAUACCGGAUACGACCUCAGGUUGCAUGACUUGGGGGUGAAAAGAUUUUAUCGGUGCAGGGAUCGGGGCCCCGCGGCCUAUCAGCUUUGGUUGGGUGGGGUAAUGGCCUACCAAGGCGACGACGGGUAGCCGACCUGAGAGGGUGACCGGCCACACUGGGACUGAGACACGGCCCAGACUCCGUACGGGAGGCAGCAGGUGGGGAAUAGUUGCACAAGUGGGACGAAAGCCUAGAUGCAGCGACGCCGCGUGGAGGGAUGACGGCCUUCGGGUACUAACCGUCUUCGGCGAGGGACGAAGCGACGAAGGUACGACGGUACCUGCGAAGAGAAGACC
rnacentral:rRNA from 1 species